GGACAGUUCACCCUGAGAUGGACACCAUCUGAGAGAGAAGACGGACAAAGCCUCCCCAUCUGUUUUGUUGUCCAGGCAGUUUUCAAUGGAACCAAGUAUCACUCCGAGCUUCGAUGUGUCAUUGUGACUGUUGCAAACGAUGUUACAGUUCUUAAAUUGAAGAUGACCUCUUUGGUGGACUUGUCUAAAAUUGAUAGAGAUACCUUCCUUUCACAGAUCAAAAAUUUGCUGAUAUCCAAAGGGCUGCCCCAACACAUGAUCGUCCGACUAAUAAGCAGCAAUGCACAGAUUGGUCCAACUGCAGCACCCUCUACUGGCAAAACAUGAACUGGCAGCUUAAGGAGCUUCUUCAUGGCAGCUGUUGAAUGCAGUUCAGUCUUCACUGUUCUUUAACACACAUUUUUAAUAAUUACAAUCACUUCUCAAGAGCAGCUUUUAAAAGCAACAUGUUACCCUGACUCUCCAGUGCUACACAGCAAAUCCAGCAUGUCAAAAUUAACACUGUCAGAUUUGAUUUCAACACUAUUAAAUUGUCUAUAUGGGUCCACACCAGAGAGUGUUAAUUUAACUCUUUUUGGAGAGUUGGUAAGUUAACUCUGAUUUAGUGUUAAACACCAAAUCUAUCUGGAGUUGAUAAUUUAACACUUACUAAUGCUAACUAGGUGUUAAGAGUUUAUAUAUUAACUCUCAAAGAGUAUUUUAGUUUAACUACAUAAGAGUUAUCUUCUAAUUAAUUCUAAAAAGUGGAAAUUCUACUGUUCUGAACUUCUAGAAAUUCCUUUGGAAAUAAACAUUAAAAAGAUGCAAUGGUUUUUGAAAAACAUUUAUUCUGAA
ensembl:lncRNA